GCAAUUAGAUACACGCGUGUCGUAUAAGCGGUAAUAAAAACGCCGAUACGUGGCGCGUUUGAUUUACGAGGGGAAAACCGCACUGUAAAUUAUAGCCGGAGUUGUAAAAACCGGGAGUUAUAAAUUUCCAUCAGGAGUGCAAAAUCGUCCCGCGAACAUUAGGAUCCAAUUAGAACGAUAACGAGCAAUAUACGACCGUCACGUUUCUCCUUUAAAAUAAAAUCGCGCGUUCUUUGCAGUCCAUGCAUUUCGUAUGCCACUAUAAGAAAGAGAGAUAGAAAGAGAGAGAGAGAGAGAAACGUUAGUUUCACGAAGUACUUAAUACUGACGUAAAAACAGUCUACAUAGAGUCGGUGAACUAGGCGUGUUAAAUUGUGAAAGUCAUCGCGUAAUGGCUAAGUAAUUAAAUAAAAUCAAUCUGAAACAAAAUCUGAAGACGAAACUUCAUUGCUUAACUUCAUUAUUCAUAACUUAAAUUUCUUCCUAAAGGCUUCUUCAUUAUAGAAAAGAAAUUAUCAGACUAAGGAUUGAAGGGAAAGGUCAAAAAACUUUCGUACAGCCCUGAAUCGUCUCAUUGACGGCUCCUUUAUGCGAUGGGAUUUCGUCAAUGAAACUAAGGUACCGCUGAGCGCAUCGAAUGAACCUAAUAUCGUGCGGUCGUCAUCGUUGAUUGCGUCUCUUUACGAAGGAAUGAAUGAGGAAGAAGACAAAAAAGAAGAGGCGGGGAGAGAGAGAGAGAGAGAGAGAAAAGAGACAACGUUAUAACUUCGAGUGACUCACCGUUUGUCAAACCGUCGACGUCGUCCGAGUCGCACUUGAGACCUUAACAUACGAAAGAUUCCAAGCAUCCAACACUGAACACCAAGCUGGUCUAUUCAUACAAGGUUUUUCAC